rnacentral:rRNA from 1 species
GGUUGAUCCUGCCGGACCCCACUGCUACCGGGAUAGGACUAAGACAUGCUAGUCGCGUGCCUCAGCCAAAACGAGGCACGGCACACAGCUCAGUAACACGUGGCUAAUCUGCCCUUGGGAUAGGAAUACCCCCGGGAAACUGGGACUAAUUCCCAAUAGGUGAAGAACUCUGGAAUGAGUCUCCACCAGAAAAGAGCUUACGUUAUGCUCGUAAGUUUCGCCCAAGGAUGAGGCCGCGACCGAUCAGGUUGUUGGCGAGGUAAUGGCUCACCAAGCCUUUUACCGGUGCGGGCCGUGGGAGCGGGAGCCCGGAGAUGGGUACUGAGACAAGGACCCAGGCCCUACGGGGCGCAGCAGUCGCGAAAACUUUGCAAUAAGCGCAAGCUUGACAGGGCUAUCCCGAGCGCCAUCCGCUGAGGAAGGCUUUUACCCAGUCUAGAACGCUGGGGGAAUAAGGAGAGGGCAAGUCUGGUGUCAGCCGCCGCGGUAAUACCAGCUCUCCGAGUGGUGUGGAUGUUUAUUGGGCCUAAAGCAUCCGUAGCUGGCUAAGUUAGUCCCCUGUUAAAUCCACUGAAUUAAUCGUUGGAUCGCGGGGGAUACUGCUUGGCUAGGGGACGAGAGAGGCAGACGGUAUUUUCGGGGUAGGGGUGAAAUCCUAUAAUCCCGGGAAGACCACCAGUGGCGAAGGCUGUCUGCUAGAACGCGCCCGACGGUGAGGGAUGAAAGCUGGGGGAGCGAACCGGAUUAGAUACCCGGGUAGUCCCAGCUGUAAACGAUGCAGGCUAGGUGUUUGGACGGCCACGUGCCGUUCUAGUGCCGCAGGGAAGCUGUUAAGCCUGCCGCCUGGGGAGUACGAUCGCAAG